CCGCGCUAGGCGGGGAACUAGCGGUGCCCUACAACCGCAAUCCGCUACAGCGGGCUGAAUUCCUGUCCGAGGGUCGACAGCGGUGAUCCUGCCAACCACGUCCGGUGUUGAGGGUCGGGCCUCGUGCGACAGAGGGCUUCCAACCCCGCCAGGUCCGAGAGGAAGCAACGGUACGAAGAAUCCUCUGGGCGCCGCGAGUCCACCUGGCCUGAGCCGGCGUCGGGUGGAAAGCCGCCGCUGGCCGGCACGGAGACGGGUGCGCGG
rnacentral:SRP_RNA from 1 species